CAAAGCUAGAAAAGGACAAUGGCUUAUCCCAACUCCAUUCCUGGGGUAAAAGUACUUGAUAGAGCUCUAACAUGAUGUUUUCUGUUUGCAGAAAAACUGUCAAAGCAGUGAGCAUAUCAUGCUGAAUCUGGCAGCACAGAGUUAGGAGAGCCGGUCUUCCUCCUGUGCCUCCGAGAUCCAGAACACAUGGUUAUCCUUGUCUGGGAUAACCUGGGAUCCUUGUCUGACCUCCCCUUCUAGAGUUGAUAAUCAUUUCCUGAGUCCUGCUGAGUUCCAAGAUCUGUGCUGAGCACUUCCAUCCUCUCCAGAGAGAAGAUCCGCGGGUAUAGACUCAGUCACCCAGGAUCCAGUGAGUAACAU
rnacentral:lncRNA from 1 species